rnacentral:rRNA from 1 species
CAGUCGCCACGGUAAUACGAGGGGGGCUAGCGUUGUUCGGAUUUACUGGGCGUAAAGCGCACGUAGGCGGAUCGAUCAGUCAGGGGUGAAAUCCCAGAGCUCAACUCUGGAACUGCCUUUGAUACUGUCGAUCUGGAGUAUGGAAGAGGUGAGUGGAAUUCCGAGUGUAGAGGUGAAAUUCGUAGAUAUUCGGAGGAACACCAGUGGCGAAGGCGGCUCACUGGUCCAUUACUGACGCUGAGGUGCGAAAGCGUGGGGAGCAAACAGGAUUAGAUACCCCAGUAGUCCCUGUCUCUUAUAC